rnacentral:rRNA from 1 species
GGCAUGUAGGGACCGUAAUANAGUCGAGCGGAUGACGGGAGCUUGCUCCUUGAUUCAGCGGCGGACGGGUGAGUAAUGCCUAGGAAUCUGCCUGGUAGUGGGGGACAACGUUUCGAAAGGAACGCUAAUACCGCAUACGUCCUACGGGAGAAAGCAGGGGACCUUCGGGCCUUGCGCUAUCAGAUGAGCCUAGGUCGGAUUAGCUAGUUGGUGAGGUAAUGGCUCACCAAGGCGACGAUCCGUAACUGGUCUGAGAGGAUGAUCAGUCACACUGGAACUGAGACACGGUCCAGACUCCUACGGGAGGCAGCAGUGGGGAAUAUUGGACAAUGGGCGAAAGCCUGAUCCAGCCAUGCCGCGUGUGUGAAGAAGGUCUUCGGAUUGUAAAGCACUUUAAGUUGGGAGGAAGGGCAGUAAGUUAAUACCUUGCUGUUUUGACGUUACCGACAGAAUAAGCACCGGCUAACUCUGUGCCAGCAGCCGCGGUAAUACAGAGGGUGCAAGCGUUAAUCGGAAUUACUGGGCGUAAAGCGCGCGUAGGUGGUUCGUUAAGUUGGAUGUGAAAGCCCCGGGCUCAACCUGGGAACUGCAUCCAAAACUGGCGAGCUAGAGUACGGUAGAGGGUGGUGGAAUUUCCUGUGUAGCGGUGAAAUGCGUAGAUAUAGGAAGGAACACCAGUGGCGAAGGCGACCACCUGGACUGAUACUGACACUGAGGUGCGAAAGCGUGUGGAGCAAAAAAGAUUAGA